GCGGCAAUAGCUCAGUUGGUAGAGCGUUGGCUUCCCAAGCCGAAGGUCGCGGGUUCGAGUCCCGUUUGCCGCU
rnacentral:tRNA from 2 species